rnacentral:rRNA from 1 species
GGCUCAGAACGAACGCUGGCGGCGCGCUUAAGCAUGCAAGUCGAACGGCAAGCUACCUCGGGUAGCCUAGAGUGGCGGACUGGUGAGUAACACGUGGGUGACAUGCCUUCAGGACUGGAAUAGCCUGCAGAAAUGCAGGGUAAUGCCGGAUACGGUGCAGGACGUUAGGGGUCCUGCAAGAAAGGAGCAUUUGCUCCGCCGGGAGAUUGGCCCGCGGCCCAUUAGCUAGUUGGUGAGGUAAAGGCCCACCAAGGCAAUGAUGGGUAUCCGGCCUGAGAGGGUGAUCGGACACAUUGGGACUGAGAUACGGCCCAGACUCCUACGGGAGGCAGCAGCUAAGAAUAUUCCGCAAUGGAGGAAACUCUGACGGAGCGACGCCGCGUGGAUGAUUGAAGGCCGAAAGGUUGUAAAAUCCUUUUGAACCGGAAGAAUAAGCGCAGGAGGGAAUGCCUGCGUGGUGACGGUACGGUUCGAAUAAGCAACGGCUAAUUACGUGCCAGCAGCAGC